CUGUACACUGAUCUAUAACAGGUGAUCGACUGACUCGAGAAUUUGCCGACGCUUGAAGAAGGACCUAAUGUGAGCUUUUACAUACUUGAUGAACAGCUUGAGCUCUUGAGCAAGGUGCUGAAUGCAGGGGAUGACAUGAUUGGUGUUGAGUGCUUAGAAGAAGAUUC